AUGCCAGCAUCCCAUACCGGGGUGCUGGCUGGAGUCUUGGGUACUCUGCUUCCAAUCCAGCUCUCUGCUAAUGCAUCUGAAAAAAAAGCAGAACGCACUGAUGCAGGGGAUGUCCACACUGGCUUAGGGAGAGAUGGAGCUGUCACCAGGGCUGGGACCCACCUGAAAGAGGGAGUGGGGAGGGGCGGGGGGGAGGUGCUCGUCACAGAACUCCAGGAUGCAGAAGGCAGGGAGGGCGGGGGAGGGGGAGGCUGGAGGGGGAGGGUGGCCGAGGAGCUGCCAGCUCCGGGCUGCUGUGAGCCUGCUGCCGUGGGCUGAGUGCUGCUUAGCUGGGCCCGGGCUUGGAAGGUGCUGGGAGAGGAGGUGCUGAUGCUGCCAGCAGCGCAGAUGGAGGAGGAAGUGGGAAGCUGGAGGCGGGGCAGGCACAGGGCCCUGGCACGGGAAGGCGCACCUCCCCCCAGGGGGCCUGGCGCUGGGGGGACUCACUGCCCCGUCCAGGGCCCAGCAUUCAGACUCGCUGGUCCCAGCACGGGUGUCGGGCGUGGAGGGUCACGGGGUUAGGGCUCAUGGUCCCCAGGAGGGAGGUGCAUCCGGCACCAGGGGAAGAGACAAGCAAAUGCCCCCCUGGCUGGAGCAGUCGGGAGUCUGAGUCCCUGGAACAGGAGGCCCUCGCCACACUGCCACAUCCCUGGGCAGGAACCCAGGUCCCCAACCGUGGUGUCCUCUCCCAGGGAAGAGAGAAAAAAAAAACAAUGCAGGUUGCACCACCUCAGGACUGUGGCAAGGACACCCUCAGUAGCUGGAGCUUGGUGUCCAGACCUUUUUAUUUUCAGCAUUUAUUUUAGAGGCCAGCACUCUGAUACAUGCAGGUGAAAAGCCACGGCCUGCAGCGCCAGCAUCCCGAAUGUGAACCAGCAGAUGAAAGAUUCUCUCUCUCUUUCAAAUACAUAAAUUCAUAAAAUCUUUUUAAAAAGAUUCAUUCUAUUUACUUAAAAAGUAGAGUGAUGGGGGCUUGGGGGAGAGAUCUUGUAUCCUCUGGUUUGCUCCCCUAAUGAUCUCAACAGCCAGAGCUGGUCCUGGCCAAAGCCAGGAGCCAGGAGCUUCUUCCAGGUCUCCCAUGUGGGUGCAGGGGCCCAAGCAGUUGGACUACCUUCUGCUGCUUUCCCAGGCACGUUAGCAGGGAGCUGGAUCAGAAGCCAAGCAGCCAGGACUUGAAUCGGCGGCAUUCUGAUAUGGCAGGCAGGCGUUGCACGAAGUUUAAGGUGUUGUGUCACGAUGCCCCCGCCAGUGCCCAUAUCUUUGUCUUAACUCAUUC
rnacentral:lncRNA from 1 species